ensembl:misc_RNA 7SK 7SK RNA
GGAUGUGAGGGAGAUCUGGCUGCGACAUCUGUCAUUGAUGUCAUUGAUCGCCAGGGUUGAUUCGACUGAUCUGGCUGGCUAGGCGGGUGUCCCCUUCCUCCCUCACUGCUCCAUGUGCGUCCCUCCCGAAGCUGCGCGCUCGGUCGAAGAGGAGGACCUUCCCCGAUAGAGGAGGACCGUUCUUCAGUCAAGGGUAUACGAGUAGCUGCGCUCCUCUGCUAGAACCUCCAAACAAGCUCUCAAGGUCCAUUUGUAGGAGAAUGUAGGGUAGUCAAGCUUCCAAGACUCCAGACACAUCCAAAUGAGGCACUACACGUGGCAGUCUGCCUUU